UCUAGGAAUUCUUCUUGGGCAGCUGACAAUUUGACAUUACUCUUUGGGACAGAAGAUGGUUUCUAUACUUCAGUAUCUUCCUCUGAAGACGAACCCUGGUCUUCUCUAUUUCCCUGCUCAGCCUUCUCAAGAGCCUGCCCUUCUUCAGGACAGAAGCACAGAGAAACAAAGACUUCUGGGAUUCUGACAGCCAGGCCCCAGAGUGCUCUGACUAGCACAGCCUCGUGCCCGCUUCCCCUAAAUGCGCUCUGUGAUCCGGCUCCACCGGCCUACUCAACAGGUCACUGCCCCUGAUGCCGCACCUUUGCACCAGCCGAGCUUCAUGCCCGGCUUGCUCUGCCUCGACAUCCCUGCGGUCCUCUAAGACUCGGCUUAGAUCCUGCCUCCUGCCUGUGCCCCUUGGCUUCCCGGCUUACUCUGCAUCUGCUGUGUGUACGGGUAAUUUAGUUGCUGUUUCCCCAUUACAAUGUAAGCUCCUUGAGGGCAGGAACUGUGAUUUUGCCUGCUCUUGUACCCCCAAACUUAGCUCGGGCUCUGGAGGGAGUAAACACCUCAGUGCUUGUUGACUAACGGCAGCAAAUCUGCCAAAGGCCGAGAAAUGUUUCAUGUGAAGUCAUGCUUUCAGUCAUCAAUGUGGGCUUUCACGCGUCUUGUAUUUGCUUAUCCACAUCUUACGAGAGAUUUCCUACGGUCAGGACGACUUUUAAGAAAUUCCUCAGCUUCUCAGGCUAGCACCAGUACCAGGAGCCUAAGUAGAGCAGGAAGAGGGGGCCCCUUCUGUAGAGGACCCUGCCUGCUUCCUGUGACUUCAGUGACUGCUUUACAUAGCAGUCUCCUGGAGCAAUUGAAGAGAUAAGUCUAGCAAAGUUAGUGCACUAUGUUAGUAUCUGGCACAUAGUUUAUUGUAUUAUAUUUUAUUGUAUAGCCUAUUCAGGAAAAAAAAGGUGAAAAAUGCCUAUUUCCCAAUUAUGAUAUGCAAUUCUAUUAAGUAAUCCACAAAUUGUUCAAUUAAUAUUAUAUAUUGGAAAGGCAGUAUAUAGGUUUUGAGGUGAGUUCAGAAUUGAAGAGGAUGAUGAGGAG